AGUCGAGGGGCAGCAUUCACUUCGGUGAGAUGGCGACCGGCGCACGGGUGCGUAACGCGUAUGCAACCUACCCUUUACUGCGGGAUAGCCCGGGGAAACCCGGAUUAAUACCGCAUGGUACCAAUUGAGGGCAUCUAAAGAUGGUUAAAGAUUUAUCGGUAAAGGAUGGGCAUGCGUGACAUUAGUUAGUUGGUGAGGUAACGGCUCACCAAGACGACGAUGUCUAGGGGGUCUGAGAGGAUGAUCCCCCACACUGGCACUGAGAUACGGGCCAGACUCCUACGGGAGGCAGCAGUAGGGAAUAUUGGUCAAUGGGCGAAAGCCUGAACCAGCCAUGCCGCGUGCAGGAAGACGGCCUUCUGGGUUGUAAACUGCUUUUAUCAGGGAACAAAAAGCUCCUGCGGGAGAAAUUGCGUGUACCUGAAGAAUAAGGACCGGCUAACUCCGUGCCAGCAGCCGCGGUAAUACGGAGGGUCCAAGCGUUGUCCGGAUUUAUUGGGUUUAAAGGGUGCGUAGGCGGCCUUAUAAAUCAGUGGUGAAAUCCUUCGGCUCAACCGGAGAACUGCCAUUGAAACUGUAAGGCUUGAGUACAGACGAGGUAGGCGGAAUUUAUGGUGUAGCGGUGAAAUGCAUAGAUACCAUAAAGAACACCUAUAGCGAAGGCAGCUUACUAGACUGUAACUGACGCUGAGGCACGAAAGCGUGGGGAGCGAACAGGAUUAGAUACCCUGGUAGUCCACGCCGUAAACGAUGAUUACUCGAUGUGUGCGAUAGACAGUACGCGUCCAAGCGAAAGCGUUAAGUAAUCCACCUGGGGAGUACGCUCGCAAGAGUG
rnacentral:rRNA from 1 species